UACCCCGAUAGAUUCCUACUGGUCCAGGCAUAAACGUUUCUAUUUUUUAGUCACUGACUAGAGAAAAAAAACAAUAUCAUACGCUCUGCUUAUUUGAAUGAUUUGAAAAGGGUCCUGCAGGCCAGGAUUGUGUCGAGGAGGCUCUGUUCAGGAGCAGGGAUGCCCCUGACUAGGGAACAGCGUCCCGCAUCAAAACAAAAGUGCCUUUUGCUACGACCCUCGAACCAAUCACUUCAAACGCACCUUUUUUUUUGAUUUGACUUUAUGGACUUUGUCAAACAAAUAUCCAUUUUGCACCAAUGGUGCUGUUUUAUCACAGGCUGCUGAGUUCAAUAAUAUCAGCAUGGUCUAUUUUUUCUUUUCAAGAUGUACGAACACAUUUUGCAUUUUUUGUCUAAAUGUUCAGAGCAUUAUUUCAAUAAAUAAAUACUUAUCAACAGCU